GAACGCACAUUGCGCCCGCCAGUAUUCUGGCGGGCAUGCCUGUUCGAGCGUCAUUUCAACCAUCAAGCCCCCCGGCUUGUGUUGGGGACCUGCGGCUGCCGCAGGCCCUGAAAACCAGUGGCGGGCUCGCUGUCACCCCGAGCGUAGUAGUUACAUCUCGCUCUGGGAGUGCUGCGGGUUCCGGCCGUUAAAAGCCUUAUUUACCCAAGGUUGACCUCGGAUCAGGUAGGAAGACCCGCUGAACUUA
rnacentral:misc_RNA from 1 species